UCGGAUAUGGUGUAACGGCUAACAUUGCCGCCUCUCAUAAUGCUGAUGUACGCGGCAGCUCGGGGUUCGAUUCCCCGUAUCCGAA